ACUUUAUAGAUCUAGUGACUUUAGCCUCUACUGCUACUGUUCAUUGUAGACAACACAGUACAGUAAAGGUAUAAUUUCACGAGCUCAAACCGGCUGUUUCAGCGACAAAAAGGAUCAUUCAUAAAUUUUGACCUUUUGUGAUCCUUUUUGUCACUGAAACGGUCGGUUGGAGUGGCUCGUGAAAAUGUAUUUUUAAGUAUCGUCUACAAUGAACAGUUGAUCGAUCAAUCAUUUCUGGCUUGGCCGGAAAACCCGACGUAUCUACAGCCUCUACUGUUCAUUGUAGACGACGCAUUACAAUUGCUAUUAUAUGGAAAGUGUGGGGAGAGCUCCAUUUGCGCAUAUCACUUCAUGGAUAAUUUAAAAUUUUCUCAUUGGUAAAGCAGCGAAAAAUUACAAGGAAAUUAAUGAUCUAUGAUGUAUGUAAUCGGGAAUGUAGACAAGCGGGAUCCUCUCAAAUGUGCGCGGACUCCCUUAUAUAUCAAGGGUUUGUUCCAGUCGAACCAGUUUCAAACUAUCAGAAAACUGUACAUCUCAAUUUGAUUAUAUUAGGUAAUAAAAUUUUAUAAUACACA